rnacentral:rRNA from 1 species
UACGGAGGGUGCAAACGUUGCUCGGAAUCAUUGGGCGUAAAGCGCACGUAGGCGGCGCGUUAAGUCGGGUGUGAAAGCCCUGGGCUCAACCCAGGAAGUGCAUUCGAAACUGGCGCGCUUGAAUAUGGAAGAGGGUCGCGGAAUUCCCGGUGUAGAGGUGAAAUUCGUAGAUAUCGGGAGGAACACCAGUGGCGAAGGCGGCGACCUGGGCCAAUAUUGACGCUGAGGAGCGAAAGCCAGGGGAGCAAACGGG